UGACCAUGCUGUUUGGCCACACUCUGCUCCU
rnacentral:piRNA from 1 species